rnacentral:rRNA from 1 species
GUGGCGGACGGGUGAGGAAUACAUCGGAAUCUACUCUUUCGUGGGGGAUAACGUAGGGAAACUUACGCUAAUACCGCAUACGACCUACGGGUGAAAGCGGAGGACCUUCGGGCUUCGCGCGGUUGAAUGAGCCGAUGUCGGAUUAGCUAGUUGGCGGGGUAAAGGCCCACCAAGGCGACGAUCCGUAGCUGGUCUGAGAGGAUGAUCAGCCACACUGGAACUGAGACACGGUCCAGACUCCUACGGGAGGCAGCAGUGGGGAAUAUUGGACAAUGGGCGCAAGCCUGAUCCAGCCAUGCCGCGUGGGUGAAGAAGGCCUUCGGGUUGUAAAGCCCUUUUGUUGGGAAAGAAAAGCAGUCGGUUAAUACCCGAUUGUUCUGACGGUACCCAAAGAAUAAGCACCGGCUAACUUCGUGCCAGCAGCCGCGGUAAUACGAAGGGUGCAAGCGUUACUCGGAAU